rnacentral:rRNA from 1 species
AGGUAAGCUACUAAGAGCGAAUGGUGGAUGCCUUGACUGGUAAAGGCGAUGAAGGACGUACUAGACUGCGAUAAGCUACGGGGAGCUGUCAAGAAGCUUUGAUCCGUAGAUUUCCGAAUGGGGCAACCCAAUGUAUAGAGAUAUACAUUACCUAUAUAGGAGCGAACGAGGGGAAUUGAAACAUCUUAGUACCCUCAGGAAAAGAAAUCAAUAGAGAUUGCGUCAGUAGCGGCGAGCGAAAGCGUAAGAGGGCAAACCCAGUGCUUGCACUGGGGGUUGUAGGACUGCAAUGUGCAAGAGGUGAGUUUAGCAGAACAUUCUGGAAAGUAUAGCCAUAGAGGGUGAUAGUCCCGUAUGCGAAAAACAAACCUUAGCUAGCAGUAUCCUGAGUAGGGCGGGACACGAGAAAUCCUGUCUGAAGCUGGGUCGACCACGAUCCAACCCUAAAUACUAAUACCAGAUCGAUAGUGCACAAGUACCGUGAGGGAAAGGUGAAAAGAACUGAGGUGAUCAGAGUGAAAUAGAACCUGAAACCAUUUGCUUACAAUCAUUCAGAGCACUAUGUAGCAAUACAGUGUGAUGGACUGCCUUUUGCAUAAUGAGCCUGCGAGUUGUGGUGUCUGGCAAGGUUAAGCAAACGCGAAGCCGUAGCGAAAGCGAGUCUGAAUAGGGCGCUUAGUCAGAUGCUGCAGACCCGAAACGAAGUGAUCUAUCCAUGAGCAAGUUGAAGCUAGUGUAAGAACUAGUGGAGGACUGAACCCAUAGGCGUUGAAAAGCCCCGGGAUGACUUGUGGAUAGGGGUGAAAGGCCAAUCAAACUUCGUGAUAGCUGGUUCUCUCCGAAAUAUAUUUAGGUAUAGCGUUGUGUCGUAAUAUAAGGGGGUAGAGCACUGAAUGGGCUAGGGCAUACACCAAUGUACCAAACCCUAUCAAACUCCGAAUACCUUAUAUGUAAUCACAGCAGUCAGGCGGCGAGUGAUAAAAUCCGUCGUCAAGAGGGAAACAACCCAGACUACCAGCUAAGGUCCCUAAAUCUUACUUAAGUGGAAAACGAUGUGAAGUUACUUAAACAACCAGGAGGUUGGCUUAGAAGCAGCCAUCCUUUAAAGAAAGCGUAAUAGCUCACUGGUCUAGUGAUUUUGCGCGGAAAAUAUAACGGGGCUAAAGUAAGUACCGAAGCUGUAGACUUGAUUUUAUCAAGUGGUAGGAGAGCGUUCUAUUUGCGCCGAAGGUAUACCGGUAAGGAGUGCUGGAGCGAAUAGAAGUGAGCAUGCAGGCAUGAGUAGCGAUAAUUAAUGUGAGAAUCAUUAACGCCGUAAACCCAAGGUUUCCUACGCGAUGCUCGUCAUCGUAGGGUUAGUCGGGUCCUAAGUCGAGUCCGAAAGGGGUAGACGAUGGCAAAUUGGUUAAUAUUCCAAUACCAACAUUAGUGUGCGAUGGAAGGACGCUUAGGGCUAAGGGGGCUAGCGGAUGGAAGUGCUAGUCUAAGGUCGUAGGAGGUUAUACAGGCAAAUCCGUAUAACAAUACUCCGAGAACUGAAAGGCUUUUUGAAGUCUUCGGAUGGAUAGAAGAACCCCUGAUGCCGUCGAGCCAAGAAAAGUUUCUAAGUUUAGCUAAUGUUGCCCGUACCGUAAACCGACACAGGUGGGUGGGAUGAGUAUUCUAAGGCGCGUGGAAGAACUCUCUUUAAGGAACUCUGCAAAAUAGCACCGUAUCUUCGGUAUAAGGUGUGGUUCGCUUCGUAUUAGGAUUUACUCCGAAAGCGAAGAAACUUACAACAAAGAGUCCCUCCCGACUGUUUACCAAAAACACAGCACUCUGCUAACUCGUAAGAGGAUGUAUAGGGUGUGACGCCUGCCCGGUGCUCGAAGGUUAAUUGAUGGGGUUAGCAUUAGCGAAGCUCUUGAUCGAAGCCCGAGUAAACGGCGGCCGUAACUAUAACGGUCCUAAGGUAGCGAAAUUCCUUGUCGGUUAAAUACCGACCUGCAUGAAUGGCGUAACGAGAUGGGAGCUGUCUCAAAGAGGGAUCCAGUGAAAUUGUAGUGGAGGUGAAAAUUCCUCCUACCCGCGGCAAGACGGAAAGACCCCGUGGACCUUUACUACAGCUUGACACUGCUAUUUGGAUAAGAAUGUGCAGGAUAGGUGGGAGGCUUUGAGUAUAUGACGCCAGUUGUAUAUGAGCCAUUGUUGAGAUACCACUCUUUCUUAUUUGGGUAGCUAACCAGCUUGAGUUAUCCUCAAGUGGGACAAUGUCUGGUGGGUAGUUUGACUGGGGCGGUCGCCUCCCAAAUAAUAACGGAGGCUUACAAAGGUUGGCUCAGAACGGUUGGAAAUCGUUCGUAGAGUAUAAAGGUAUAAGCCAGCUUAACUGCAAGACAUACAAGUCAAGCAGAGACGAAAGUCGGUCUUAGUGAUCCGGUGGUUCUGUGUGGAAGGGCCAUCGCUCAAAGGAUAAAAGGUACCCCGGGGAUAACAGGCUGAUCUCCCCCAAGAGCUCACAUCGACGGGGAGGUUUGGCACCUCGAUGUCGGCUCAUCGCAUCCUGGGGCUGGAGCAGGUCCCAAGGGUAUGGCUGUUCGCCAUUUAAAGCGGUACGCGAGCUGGGUUCAGAACGUCGUGAGACAGUUCGGUCCCUAUCUGCCGUGGGCGUAAGAAGAUUGAAGAGAUUUGACCCUAGUACGAGAGGACCGGGUUGAACAAACCACUGGUGUAGCUGUUGUUCUGCCAAGAGCAUCGCAGCGUAGCUAAGUUUGGAAAGGAUAAACGCUGAAAGCAUCUAAGCGUGAAGCCAACUCUAAGAUGAAUCUUCUCUAAGCUCUCUAGAAGACUACUAGUUUGAUAGGCUGGGUGUGUAAUGGAUGAAAGUCCUUUAGCUGACCAGUACUAAUAGAGCGUUUGGCUUAUCUUU